UACUUCUCAUCCAAUGGUUUAGUUCAGGAUCGUUCAAAUCUGGAUGAUGUUCAGGACUUUACUUUAGGAAGUACUUCACGCCCUCAAGCUGAGAUGAUGCCUUCAAUUGAGCCAGCUUCACCGACAAUCAAUUUCAAAAUUGAAGUGAUUAAUCAGGUGAGUGGGGCGACAGUUGAAGCCGAACAACUGGACGAGCAAACAGUCCGGAUCAUUGUUAAAGAUGAACUGGAUAAGCAGCUUCCAAGAACGGUACCUAAGCUUGUAAGUGAUCAAAUCGCAAAUCCAAACUCAACCAUUAGUCGGUCUUUGACUGAGAAUACGACAGCGAGAAGAAAUCGUACUUAAUAAUUUGAACCCUUUUCGGAGGGUUCAUUUUCAUAAUAUUUAAAUUUCAAGGUGAUAGAGUCUGUUGGCAUUAAAAUUGAUGGUUAAGACAUGAAAAAAAUAAUUGUAAUUUCUACAACACUUUUAGGCCUUACGGGAUGUGCCAUUCCUGCGGUAAAUAAUCUCGUAAGAUCCACAAAUAUGUAUCAGGAUGAUGUUUCGGGAAAUACUGCAAAUUUAAGGGUUUAUAGAAGUAAUAUUCCCAUGGUGCAGUUCUAUAUUACUUAUCAAAAUAAUGAGGGUGAAAAAAUUUCAAAAAACCUAAUAACUAAGCAGAUUUCAAAUAAUUUAACAAAGUAUGGCUCUAUGCAUGAGCCCAAAAAAUUAAAUAUGCCUAAACCCACAAUCAGUUUAAAUAAUGGUGAAGAGUUUUUUGAGUUUAAAGUACCCGCAAAUAAGAAGUUAACUUUCAGGCUUACUUCUGUUAUUGGGUCAACUACUAUGUAUAGUUGUGAUGUAAAAAUGGACUAUCAGUUGGAAAGAAAUGGAAAUUAUGAAUUGAUCCGUUUAAAACAGAUCAAAGAUUUUGUGAAUCCAGCUUUACUGACUGAACCAUCUCAAGAUGAAGCCUACUGCAAGUUUGUAGUAAAAGAGAUUUUUGAAGAUGGUAAAGAAACUAUUAUUAAAUCGAUUUCUUAAUGUUAAAUCGUUUUUGUAAUUAAUUUAAAUAUCUAAACCUUAUUUCAUCAAACCACCUUUCGGGGUGGUUUUUUAUUACCUGAAGGAAAGUUAUGUACAAGUUAAAGCUAAAUCCUCAGACCAGCGGCUAUGGCGUAACACCAGGUGAUGAUGUGAAACGUCAGCA
rnacentral:rRNA from 1 species